GAGCCCAAGUGAGGAGAGGGAAGCCACAUCGACGCCCUCAAGAGGGUCACGACACCCUCAGGCGUCGCCGUCGAUGGCGCCAAAGCGCUGGGCUUUCGCCCGGAACAACCCUCACCGCAACUGGUCCCUAAGUCUACCAGGCACCCCCGAGCCGAGCUUCUACCGCGCGAUCUGGGCACUGAGCACACCAAGGCGUGUCCAGCACCAGGAGCUCCCGACGCCCACUCCUCGCCACCCUCGUGGCCCGAAGAGACGGCCAUCACCACUGCCACGUCGCCCGCCGCCGAGCCGCCCGUGCAGUCCACCUUCCGGGGCCGCUGCCCCGGCAUCCGCGAGCUCUGCCGGUGUCGCCAGGUCCAACGUGUGGCCUGAGAGCCUAUGGAGGUAGACGGUUUGGGUCCGGAUGGCAGCAACAGCCUAGCCACCUGGAGGACGUCCUCCACCGCCGCCCGCGGGUGCCGACCGGACGCGGUUGCAGGGACACACCAGGCCCCUCAGGCCCGGCCGAGCCCAGGCUGGGCCCGUAAAGUCCCCGCCUCCACGCUGCUGCACGUAGGCCGCCGCCGUCGCUGCCGUCCUGCUCCUCCCCGUGCUACCACAUCCGCUCCAGGUGACGUCGCCAGCGGGAGCAGCCUGGCCCGCCCAAGUCCAGAAGGGCCCCGCCUGGGCCCAGAUCUAGGCCGGUGGAUCCCGGCCGCCGCCACUGAACCGCAACGCCCCGCCGCCCUGCGCCGACGCGAGACGAACCUGCCACACCGCGCAUCACCCGCCGCCUCCACAGCCAGACGCCACGCAGCGCCGCCGCCGAGGGUGAGGUCCACCGUGCACCGCCGCCUGACCGCCAGCCCCGCCUGGGGAGGACCUGCGCCGGGUAGAAGAAGAGCCACCGCCGCCGGCACCGCCUGGGCUUUGCCCGGCGGCUCCCGCCGGCGGCGGCAGCGAGGGGAGGGUGGAGGAGGAGGGACGGGAGGUUAGGGUUUUUUCGCCCUGGAGUCGCUCACGGGGGAGCGACCCGAGGGCUCCUGACCAACGACAGAAAGCAGUUCGUGGAGAUGCUGAUGCAAUAAUCGCUGUACUUCCUCUCCACCACUCCACGCCCGGUCCGCCUCCAGGUGUUGCUUGCAGUCCACUGGUUGCACAAGAGCUUCAGGUUUGUUACACCUGAGUUUGGAGACAGAAGAUCGGCGACAGCAAAUUGAUCAAUUUAAUUGGGGAUUCAAUCUAGACCUCGCCCCGCUCGGCUGAUCCUCAAGGCCCUGCUCUCCCUGAGUCCCUGUCCCCUGGUGUUCCAAUGUUGCCCAAGAAACAUACGUCUGGUCCGGUGCUGAGAAAAGAAAUAAAAUAAGACGAGAGAAUGUAUUCAUGGAAUUGCAAAUAGGUGCUCUAAAUAAGUACUUUUUAGGAAAAAGUAUUGUUGAUCUCAACAACAAUAAUCAAAUGCAAGAAUCUGAUCUGGGUGAAGACGAUGAGCUGGAUUCAAAUGCAAAUCUUCAGGUCAAUGAACAAUCCCUGGGUGACACUAAGUAACUAACUAGUGUCGAUUUUUUUUGGAGAAGAUGUUAUUUCGUGAAGCACAAAAGAAUUAUUAUCGGUCGAGUCAUUCAAAUUUGGUUCUUAUUUGAGGUAACCAAGCUAGCAUGGCAUAUUUUUUUAUAUUGCUACUCU